UGCAAUCUUCCUAUACAAGAUCUGUUCCCUUCAAUUUCCCUUAAUUUUCGUACAUUUUCUCAGGAACUAUUAAUUAAAGCAGCUCCAACCAUUUUCUAUAAAUUGAAGGAAUUGAAAGUGGCAGACAUAAUAAAAUAUCCAAAUGCUUUCUUCAUCUCAGGUUAGUUCUUCACAAAUAUUCUUUCUUGAUUACACUAUUGUUUAAAAAACAAAAUUGUCUUUAUGUUCAGUGCAUGACGAAUCAUCAUUUUACUAUGACAUUGCGCCUUUUCAGAUUGUUGAAUGGUGUUAAUAACAAUUUGUUGUUGGAACUUGGAGAUUGAUAGCCCACAAGAUAUCACACUUCAUUCAACACUCCAAGGGAAAGGCCAAAAAGGGUUAUAAAUGAAAGGUAGUACUAAAAGUGGUGAAGAUCUUAGCAAGGUUGUACAAUAUGUUUUUCAACAAUAUUCAAGGAGUUCUCUAAGGUUGCUGACAGGCCAUACAUAGAAGGAGAGGUGGGUCAACAUAAGGCAAGGAAAUAAGGAACAAGAGCAACUUAUUGUAGACAACAAGGACUA